rnacentral:lncRNA from 1 species
UGCUACACACAAAGCACAGAAGUACAUUUCAAUAAUUGUGGAAAAAGAGUAGGCCCAAUAAGUUUUGGCACCAGCUAAGUAAAAACAAAGGUAAAAAAAGAAAGUUACCAUGUUCCCCGUAUUAACUAGAAAGUACAUAGUAAAACAUGGUUUCUAAUUUCACCGAGUACAUUUCUACAAUAUCACUCUGGUUAAUGUCAUUCACCCAAAAAAAUGAAACGUUAGUAGCAAAGUAUUUAGAGCAAGUUAAGCUGUUUUAGUUUUUUGGUAAGUUAGAGCACAUAUCUUUCCUUCUAACUUUUACCUUGAGUUGAUCACCAUAAGUUUUGCACAUUUACAUCACUAAACAUUAGUUCUAAAAAUCCCAAAGUUUUGCACAUUUACAUCACUAAACAUUAGUUCUAAAAAUCCCCGCCUAGACGCUCAUUGGUGCUUCACCGUUUCCGUUUAGAAAGCUAAAAAACCAAUUAAUCCCCCGAUUAACCUAUCUAGGCGCUAGUCACCGGCUGUCCAUCCGAUUAACGCCUAACGUUUUUUAGAACCUUAAUGAUACGCGAUCUUAACUAGUCGGUCGCAAGUCUCUCAUUCGUAAAUAAGAGGUUUCGACUUAAGGGUAACUUGUAUUUCAAGGACACAUGGUAAACAUGAAUACCAUAAUGAAUGAGUAUAGGUGUGGUUACCGUAUUGAAUUGAGGAGCUAUAAAUGUAUACGUAGUAUGAUACUAUGCUAGGGUUGCGGAGGAGUCUCUACCGCAAGACACAUGUCCCGUUAAUACGGCAACACUUUAACCGACACUGUAAGCACGUGUUAGGUUUCCUAAGCUCCUGACAAAUAUAACGACGUGCCUACGACGUACAAGAUACUGCUUUGACAAACGUCGUUUAUUAUUUGCUAUACUUAGUCACUGGAAACUACGACAAUUACGGCAAAAAAUUACCAGAAAAUAACAGUAGUAGUAGAAUCUUACUGUAGAGUUGAGGAGGCGCGUGCAGACAAACGCGCCGACGAAGAAGAGGAGGAGGAAGACCAACACGGCCGAGGAGGAUCUAGCAGGAGAAUUCAUAAAGAUCGCAGGAGCAAGGACUCUGACAAAUGACUGUUAAGCCCCCACCUUCUGCUGCUGUCUCUCAUGCCCCAGCAGCAUUCAUUUCAACUCACUCUUUGCUCUUUCUAGUGUUUCUCUGACAAUUUGCAGCAUUCAGAGACCAAAUUCCUGGGAUUUCAGGAACUGGGUACCUGGAAAUGGUUGUUUGCUGAAUUGGGUUUGCUUUGGUUUUGGCUGGUUGAGGCUACAUUCUGUGUUUGGAGCUCAUAAAGUUUCAACCUUCGGUGUUUGUAAUAAAGAUGGAAUCUUUGUGAUUUGAAGCUAGAUCAGGAAGAGAGUUUGCCUAAAUCAGGUAAAAAACUGAAAACAAACAAAGUUUGGAAAUUUUGGAGGAAAUUAGAUCCAAAAGGAACUAGAAGGAACAGAGAGAGAGAGAGAG